rnacentral:rRNA from 1 species
GAUGAACGCUGACAGCAUGCUUAACACAUGCAAGUCUACUUGAAUUUGGGUUUUUUAACUUAGAUUUGGGUGGCGGACGGGUGAGUAACGCGUAAAGAACUUGCCUCACAGCUAGGGACAACAUUUGGAAACGAAUGCUAAUACCUGAUAUUAUGAUUAUAAUGCAUCUUAUACUUAUGAAAGCUAUAUGCGCUGUGAUAGAGCUUUGCGUCCCAUUAGCUAGUUGGAGAGGUAACGGCUCACCAAGGCGAUGAUGGGUAGCCGGCCUGAGAGGGUGAACGGCCACAAGGGGAAUGAGACACGGCCCUUACUCCUACGGGAGGCAGCAGUGGGGAAUAUUGGACAAUGGACCAAGAGUCUGAUCCAGCAAUUCUGUGUGCACGAUGACGUUUUUCGGAAUGUAAAGUGAUUUCAGUUGGGAAGAAAAAAAUGACGGUACCAACAGAAGAAGUGACGGCUAAAUACGUG